rnacentral:rRNA from 1 species
UACAGAGGGGGCAAGCGUUAUUCGGAAUUAUUGGGCGUAAAGGGCGCGUAGGCGGCCUGACAAGUGGAAGGUGAAAUCCCUCGGCUUAACCGAGGAACUGCCUUCCAAACUGUUUGGCUUGAGUCCGGGAGAGGCGAGUGGAAUUCCGCGUGUAGCAGUGAAAUGCGUAGAUAUGCGGAGGAACACCGAUGGCGAAGGCAAGCCCCUGGGCCUGUACUGACGCUCAUGCACGAAAGCGUGGGGAGCAAACAGG